UCGCCUCCUAAAAGGUAACGGAGGCGCUCAAAGGUUCCCUCAGAAUGGUUGGAAAUCAUUCAUAGAGUGUAAAGGCAUAAGGGAGCUUGACUGCGAGACCUACAAGUCGAGCAGGGUCGAAAGACGGACUUAGUGAUCCGGUGGUUCCGCAUGGAAGGGCCAUCGCUCAACGGAUAAAAGCUACCCCGGGGAUAACAGGCUUAUCUCCCCCAAGAGUUCACAUCGACGGGGAGGUUUGGCACCUCGAUGUCGGCUCAUCGCAUCCUGGGGCUGUAGUCGGUCCCAAGGGUUGGGCUGUUCGCCCAUUAAAGCGGUACGCGAGCUGGGUUCAGAACGUCGUGAGACAGUUCGGUCCCUAUCCGUCGUGGGCGUAGGAAAUUUGAGAGGAGCUGUCCUUAGUACGAGAGGACCGGGAUGGACAUACCUCUGGUGUACCAGUUGUCGUGCCAACGGCAUAGCUGGGUAGCUAUGUGUGGACGGGAUAAGUGCUGAAAGCAUCUAAGCAUGAAGCCCCCCUCAAGAUGAGAUUUCCCAACUUCGGUUAUAAGAUCCCUCAAAGAUGAUGAGGUU
rnacentral:rRNA from 1 species